rnacentral:rRNA from 1 species
CCUACGGGAGGCAGCAGUAGGGAAUCUUCCGCAAUGGACGAAAGUCUGACGGAGCAACGCCGCGUGAGUGAUGAAGGUUUUCGGAUCGUAAAGCUCUGUUGUUAGGGAAGAACAAGUAUCGUUCAAAUAGGGCGGUACCUUGACGGUACCUAACCAGAAAGCCACGGCUAACUACGUGCCAGCAGCCGCGGUAAU